GACGAACGCUGGCGGCGUGCUUAACACAUGCAAGUGGAGCGACGAACCAGGCUUCGGCCUGGGGCAAAGCCGCGAACGGGUGAGUAACACGUGGGUAACCUGCCCCGAAGAUCGGGACAACCCGGGGAAACCCGGGACUAAUACCGAAUGUGCUCCCGCCACAUCAGUGGCAGGUGCAAAGGAAGCUUCGGCCUCCGCUUCGGGAGGGGCCCGCGGCCCAUUAGCUUGUUGGUGAGGUAACGGCUCACCAAGGCUCCGAUGGGUAGCUGGUCUGAGAGGACGAUCAGCCACACUGGGACUGAGACACGGCCCAGACUCCUACGGGAGGCAGCAGUGGGGAAUCUUGCGCAAUGCACGAAAGCGUGACGCAGC
rnacentral:rRNA from 1 species